rnacentral:rRNA from 1 species
AGCUUGCUGGGUGGAUCAGUGGCGAACGGGUGAGUAACACGUGAGCAACCUGCCCUCCACUUCGGGAUAAGCCUUGGAAACGGGGUCUAAUACCGGAUAUGAGCACAUGGCGCAUGUCGUGUGUUGGAAAGUUUUUCGGUGGGGGAUGGGCUCGCGGCCUAUCAGCUUGUUGGUGGGGUGAUGGCCUACCAAGGCGUCGACGGGUAGCCGGCCUGAGAGGGCGACCGGCCACACUGGGACUGAGACACGGCCCAGACUCCUACGGGAGGCAGCAGUGGGGAAUAUUGCACAAUGGGCGAAAGCCUGAUGCAGCGACGCCGCGUGAGGGAUGACGGCCUUCGGGUUGUAAACCUCUUUCAGCAGGGAAGAAGGCCUUCGGGUGGACGGUACCUGCAGAAGAAGCGCCGGCUAACUACGUGCCAGCAGCCGCGGUAAUACGUAGGGCGCAAGCGUUGUCCGGAAUUAUUGGGCGUAAAGAGCUCGUAGGCGGUUUGUCGCGUCUGGUGUGAAAACCUCAGGCUCAACCUGGGGCGUGCAUCGGGUACGGGCAGACUAGAGUGCGGUAGGGGAGACUGGAAUUCCUGGUGUAGCGGUGGAAUGCGCAGAUAUCAGGAGGAACACCGAUGGCGAAGGCAGGUCUCUGGGCCGCAACUGACGCUGAGGAGCGAAAGCAUGGGGAGCGAACAGGAUUAGAUACCCUGGUAGUCCAUGCCGUAAACGUUGGGCACUA